UACGGAGGGUGCAAGCAUUGAUCGGAAUUACUGGGCGUAAAGGGCGCGUAGGCGGUUUUAUAAGUCGGAUGUGAAAUUCCAGGGCUCAACCCUGGAGCUGCAUUUGAAACUGUAAGACUAGAGUUCAGUUAGGGUAAACGGAAUUCCACGUGUAGCGGUGAAAUGCGUAGAUAUGUGGAAGAACACCGGUGGUGAAAACGGUUUACUGGGCUGAAACUGAUGCUGAGGCGCGAAAGCGUGGGGAGCAAACAGG
rnacentral:rRNA from 1 species